AAAUGUAUUUUUUUUGUUUGUUUGUAUGAGUUUAUUGCCUCUGAAAACUCAUUAAAUUUACCUUUUAAAGAAAAAACAAGGAUGUAUUUUGAAAGC